GCCUUCAUAGCUCAGUGGUAGAGCGUUCCACUCGUACCCAAGGUGUGUCAUGGAAAGGUCUGGUGUUCAAUCCACCAUGGAGGCA
rnacentral:tRNA from 1 species